CAAUGGUGAUAUAAACGGUUUGUGAUAAAUUUAGACACACAAUUGUUGCUCAGAAUGCUUUCAGAUGAUUUGGACAACCCAAAGAUAAAUAAAGCUUCUACUGUUGUCACAGAGUAGCUGUUGUUCAGGAUACAUAUUAUGAGCAAACGGCAUGGAAAAGGAAUAAAUUUUUCACAUGAAUUAACUUAACAAGAUUUAGUUAAUGUUUCUGAAAGCUUCUACUGUUGUCACAGAGUAGCUGUUGUUCAGGAUACAUAUUAUGAGCAAACGGCAUGGAAAAGGAAUAAAUUUUUCACAUGAAUUAACUUAACAAGAUUUAGUUAAUGUUUCUGACCAUAAGUCCAAGGUUUUCUGCAAAUGCAAAAAGAAACGACAGACAGACGGACGCACGCGGAUGGGGCGGCACUGCGAUUUGGAUCAAGUUUAACAUCAGACACGAGCAAAUGCCAAACCUGACAGCGGGCGGUUCUGAAAUAACAGCUAUCAAUGUAUAUAAGAGAGGUCAAAAAUACUGAUUUACAUCCCGGCGAGCGGACUAGAACAUACGGACUUACAAAGACUACUGGACUCGGACAGAUUUGUACUUAUGUCAGGAGACCUUAACGCACAACAUACAUCUUGGAACUGUAACUUUAACAAUGCAAACGGAAACAGACUUUACGAAUACCUGACCGAAGACAACACCGCAGACGCACAAUUACACUAUCCUGACACGCCGACCAGAUACGCCACCGUAGUCACACCAUCACAGUACGAUCCAUUUUGCCAUUGACAAAAAAUCUACACGUAACAUCCAAACCCAUAACAAAAACACUUUUUAACUCCGACCAUAAUCCAGUUUUCAUGAUUAUUUCAGACACACUAGACGUCGGCCAGACUCCCAAACGCAAAUUUUUAGAUUGCUCCAGAGCCAACUGCCAUUUUUCAGAGACAUCAUAACAGACAAUACACGCCAUACAAUGCCAAUCGAUACCAACACUGACAUUGAGGAGGCUGUAACACACCUUACACUGACAAUCACAGA